rnacentral:tRNA from 1 species
GCCCGCUUGGCUAAGUGGUAUAGCGUGUCACUAGUAACAGCUAGGAGUCAUGACAAGAUCAGCGGUUCGAUUCCGCUAGUGGGCA